rnacentral:rRNA from 1 species
UUUUAGAGUUUGGAAUCUGGCUCAGGAUGAACGCUGGCGGCGUGCCUAAUACAUGCAAGUCGAGCGAACAGACGAGGAGCUUGCUCCUUUGACGUUAGCGGCGGACGGGUGAGUAACACGUAGGUAACCUACCUAUAAGACUGGGAUAACUUCGGGAAACCGGAGCUAAUACCGGAUAAUAUUUCGAACCGCAUGGUUCGAUAGUGAAAGAUGGCUUUGCUAUCACUUAUAGAUGGACCUGCGCCGUAUUAGCUAGUUGGUAAGGUAACGGCUUACCAAGGCAACGAUACGUAGCCGACCUGAGAGGGUGAUCGGCCACACUGGAACUGAGACACGGUCCAGACUCCUACGGGAGGCAGCAGUAGGGAAUCUUCCGCAAUGGGCGAAAGCCUGACGGAGCAACGCCGCGUGAGUGAUGAAGGUCUUCGGAUCGUAAAACUCUGUUAUUAGGGAAGAACAAACGUGUAAGUAACUGUGCACGUCUUGACGGUACCUAAUCAGAAAGCCACGGCUAACUACGUGCCAGCAGCCGCGGUAAUACGUAGGUGGCAAGCGUUAUCCGGAAUUAUUGGGCGUAAAGCGCGCGUAGGCGGUUUUUUAAGUCUGAUGUGAAAGCCCACGGCUCAACCGUGGAGGGUCAUUGGAAACUGGAAAACUUGAGUGCAGAAGAGGAAAGUGGAAUUCCAUGUGUAGCGGUGAAAUGCGCAGAGAUAUGGAGGAACACCAGUGGCGAAGGCGACUUUCUGGUCGUAACGACGUUGCUCAACGGCAUGG